rnacentral:rRNA from 1 species
UAGCCCUACGGGAGGCAGCAGUGAGGAAUAUUGGUCAAUGGGCGGAAGCCUGAACCAGCCAAGUCGCGUGAGGGAAUAAGGCCCUACGGGUCGUAAACCUCUUUUGCCGGGGAGCAAGGGCCGGGACGCGUCCCGGCCCGGAGAGUACCCGGAGAAAAAGCAUCGGCUAACUCCGUGCCAGCAGCCGCGGUAAUACGGAGGAUGCGAGCGUUAUCCGGAUUUAUUGGGUUUAAAGGGUGCGUAGGAGGGCUUUUAAGUCAGCGGUAAAAAUUAG